rnacentral:rRNA from 1 species
AAACUCAAAUGAAUUGACGGGUCCCCGCACAAGCAGCGGAGCGUGUGGUUUAAUUCGUUGCUGCACGAAGAACCUUACCUGGGUUUGACAUAGCAGUGGUAGGGAAGCGAAAGCGGACCGACCCUUCGGGGAGCUGUUACAGGUGUUGCAUGGCUGUCGUCAGCUCGUGUCGUGAGAUGUUCGGUUAAGUCCGCUAACGAGCGCAACCCGCGUGGUGUGUUACAAGUGUCACACCAUACUGCCGAUAUUAAGUCGGAGGAAGGUGCGGAUGACGUCAAGUCAGCAUGACCUUUAUAUCCAGGGCUACACACACGCUACAAUGGUCGGUACAACAGGUUGCCAAGCCGCGAGGCGGAGCCAAUCCUCUAAAGCCGGCCUCAGUUCAGAUUGCAGGCUGCAACUCGCCUGCAUGAAGUUGGAGUUGCUAGUAACCGUAGGUCAGCUAUACUGCGGUGAAUACGUUCCCGGGGAUU